GAGGAACGUCCCGCGCGCCAGCGGGGCCCGGGGUGCGCGCGGCUGCCUGUCACCUGCGUGUCAGUCAUCCCCGGCGGUGCGGGGAGCAGGGGGCACCUGCGGACAGAGCCCGCUGGGCCCGGCGGCGCCAGCUCCUUUGCCUCGCCUCCCUCUGCAGCGCUUCUCUGGUACGGGAGCGCCGAGGAGCAGCUUCGUGAUCGGUGCAUUUUAAAAUCGCCGAGUUGCAUAAGGUCCCUUGGCUGCCGGCUGGAAAGCUGGAAGUCCUUGCUUUUUGGAUAAGACUCAUCUUAUAAAGAAAGGAGCUGCACGCUUGAAGCGAGAAAAUAUAGAUAGAAUUCAUGACUCAGUGGCCUUUUAUGAAACGGGUGGAGUCGCAUCUAUUCCAGAUGCUCCACAAAUUUCUGAUCAAAUACUUGGAAUAGAAGGAUCAACUAUUCCGGUGUAUGUUCUCAUUAAUUCCAAAGAUUUAAUUCUUAAGUGUUUGACUCAAAAGCUGUUAAAGCAGAGAAUCAUUGAUCCGAAGUAUCAGUGGAUUGGUCCCAUAGGAUUGAUAACCAAAGAAUCACAAAGGUUUGUUUUAACUGAUGACGGUAGCCUGGAAAUUUAUAAUAUUCAUGGAAGUGACUCCGGAAGUUACAUCUGCAAUGUCAUCUAUGUACAUAACAAUAAAUAUG
rnacentral:lncRNA from 1 species